GGUAGUAAGAGCCGAUGAAGGACGUGGUAAGCUGCGAUAAGCCUAGAUAAGUUGCAAUCGAACGUAAGAGUCUAGGAUUUCCGAAUGGAGCAAUCUAUUAAGAUGGAGUCUUAAUACGAAAGAGGGAACCGCGUGAACUGAAACAUCUAAGUAACGCGAGGAAAAGAAAGUAAAAACGAUACCCAAAGUAGCGGCGAGCGAAAUGGGUCAAGCCUAAACCUUAAAUAUGUCAAGGAUACAGCCGUUGUAUUUAAGGGGUUGAGGGACAGAGUAGUGAAGAACUGUAAGAUAUUCAAUAUAGUGUAUUGAUGAAUUAGAAUUGUCUGGAAAGGUGAACCGUAGAAGGUGAAAGUCCUGUAUAAGUAAAUCCUUACACAUAUAACUUUGCUCCCAAGUAACAUGGAACACGAGGAAUUCUGUGUGAAUCAGUGAGGACCAUAUCUCAUAAGGCUAAAUACUCUUACUAACCGAUAGCGCAUAGUACCGUGAGGGAAAGGUGAAAAGAACCCCUGGAGGGGAGUGAAAUAGAACCUGAAAUUGUGUGCUUACAAGCGGUCAGAGCCAGUAAUGGUGAUGGCGUGCCUUUUGGAGAAUGAUCCUGCGAGUUACGUUAAACGGCGAGGUUAAGUAUAACGGAGCCGAAGGGAAACCAAGUCUUAAUAGGGCGAUUUAGUCGUUUGGCGUAGACGCGAAACCUGGUGAUCUAAACCUGUCCAGGAUGAAGCUGUGGUAAGACACAGUGGAGGUCCUAACCCACCGCCGUUGAAAAGUUGGGGGAUGAGGUAGGUUUAGGGGUGAAAAGCCAAUCGAACCAGGAGAUAGCUCGUUCUCUCCGAAAUGCAUCUAGGUGCAGCCUUGAGUGUUCAAUUAUGGGGGUAGAGCACUGAAUGAUCUAGGGGGCAUAUUGCUUACUGAAAUCAAUCAAACUCCGAAUACCAUAAUUUAUAGCUCAGGAGUGAGACUAUGGGAGUUAACUUCCAUUGUCAAAAGGGAAACAACCCAGACCACCAGCUAAGGUCCCUAAUUAUAACUAAGUGGGAAAGGAGGUGGAGAUUCACAAACAACUAGGAGGUUGGCUUAGAAGCAGCCAUACCUUUAAAGAGUGCGUAAUAGCUCACUAGUCGAGAGUCUCUGCGCCGACAAUGUAACGGGGCUAAGUUAUAAACCGAAGCUGUGGAAUCCGUAAGGAUUGGUAGGAGAGCGUUCUGUAGGCCGUUGAAGGAGAAGGGUAACCGACUUUGGAGGUAUCAGAAGUGAGAAUGCAGGAAUAAGUAGCGAGAAAGGGGGCGAGAAUCCCCCUCGCCGGAAGACCAAGGUUUUCAGGGUAAAGCUUGUCUUCCCUGAGUAAGCCGGGACCUAAGCCCAGGCUAUAAUGCGUAGGCGAAUGGAAAACAGAUUAAUAUUUCUGUGCCAGUCAUUUAUUGUGAUGGAGGGACGCAGAAGGGUAUGCGCGCGGACGAUCGGUUGUGUCCGUAGAAGUAUGUAGGGUGACUUAGUAGGUAAAUCCAUUAAGUUAUAUCUGAGGUAUGAUAUACAGUCGUAAGAUGAAUGCGCAAAUCCCACGCUGCCAAGAAAAGCUUCUAACGUUAAUAUAUGACUGCCCGUACUGUAAACCGACACAGGUGGUCAGGAUGAGAAAUCUAAGGCGGACAGGCUAACUCUCGUUAAGGAACUCUGCAAAAUAACCUCGUAACUUCGGGAGAAGAGGAGCCCUUGAGUGUCAGUAUCCAUGCGGUACAAAGCACUCGAGGGUCGCAGUGAAGAGGCUCAAGCAACUGUUUAACAAAAACACAGGUCUAUGCUAAGCUGUAAGGCGAUGUAUAUGGGCUGACACCUGCCCAGUGCUGGAAGGUUAAGAGGAGGAGUGAGAGCUCCGAAUUGAAGCCCCAGUGAACGGCGGCCGUAACUAUAACGGUCCUAAGGUAGCGAAAUUCCUUGUCGGGU
rnacentral:rRNA from 1 species